UGUAGGGGCUCAAUGGUAGAGUGCUUGCCUAGCAUGCACAAAGCCCUGGGUUCAAUCCCCAGCACUGCAA
rnacentral:tRNA from 1 species